GCCAAUGCAGCAAGCAAGAAGCAGCUGAAAAAAGUGAAGGCUAUAGAGACAGCAACAUGGUCACAGAAGUAGUGUAAGGGCUUGCAGAAAUUUGGCAAAGGGGCAUGUUGGAUUCCUGUGCGGUUCAGGUUGGUGACCCCUGAUGCAGCAGCCCCAGCACCAAUCAUUGCAUAUGCAAACACCUGAUCGCCUGCAAAAAUAAGCCAUGCAUGACUUCUUGAUGUAAUCACUGGAGAUUUUCUAAGCAACCUUGACAUGCUAAUUAGCAGUUGCAGCA
rnacentral:misc_RNA from 1 species